GGCUCCGGUGGCCUAGUGGUUGGAGCGCCCGCCUCAGAUGCGGGAGAUCGCAGGUUCGAACCCUGGCCGAGCCA